AGAGAGCUAUAAUAUCAUGUUUCUUCAAUGACCAUGUGAAUCUUAGUUAGUUAAUUCGCGAACUAUUGGAUAACCGAAUUAAACGGCCUAUAUACCUUUUUUUUUCCCAAAAAUUCGAAGUAAAUGAAUAAUCAGCGACCCCCAUAUUAUUCUUUCUUUUUUUUUUUGAGAGAGAUAAAUAGCACGCAACCUGAAAAUGUGAAUCAACUAGGAUUCGAACUUGGGUCUCAGGUUUCACCCACCAAGCUCUUUACCACCAAGCCCCGUAUUAUUCACCCAAAAAAAAAAAA
rnacentral:lncRNA from 1 species